rnacentral:rRNA from 1 species
UAAAGAUUCAUCGGCUGCGGAUGGCCAUGCGGCGCAUUAGCUAGUCGGCGGGGUAACGGCCCACCGAGGCGACGAUGCGUAGGGGUUCUGAGAGGAAGGUCCCCCACACUGGUACUGAGACACGGACCAGACUCCUACGGGAGGCAGCAGUGAGGAAUAUUGGUCAAUGGCCGGGAGGCUGAACCAGCCAAGUCGCGUGAGGGAAGACGGCCCUACGGGUUGUAAACCUCUUUUGUCAGGGAGCAAGAGGCGGGUCGGGACCUGCUGUGAGAGUACCUGAAGAAAAAGCAUCGGCUAACUCCGUGCCAGCAGCCGCGGUAAUACGGAGGAUGCGAGCGUUAUCCGGAUUUAUUGGGUUUAAAGGGUGCGCAGGCGGAGGCACAAGUCAGCGGUAAAAUCGCGGGGCUCAACCCCGCUCCGCCGUUGAAACUGUGUCCCUUGAGUGCGCGAAGGGUAGGCGGAAUGCGUGGUGUAGCGGUGAAAUGCAUAGAUAUCACGCAGAACUCCGAUCGCGAAGGCAGCCUACCGGCGCGCGACUGACGCUCAUGCACGAAAGCGUGGGUAUCGAACAGGAUUAGAUACCCUGGUAGUCCGCGCAGUAAACGAUGAAUGCUAUCUGUCCGGCCGGAAUGACGGCUGG